GCUGCUCCUCUCUGCUUUAUGGUUGCAACAUAUUGAGGCGGAUUAAAACAAACAAGCUACAAUCAGUAUUCAGUUCUGCGUAUGAAUACUGUAGAAAUAAGGCAUUUUUAUACAGUUGUACUCAUCCACUAAGGAUAUAUUUACGUUUUUCUCGGCUGAAUAUCUGUCAAAAGUUCAACGUCAACCCGCAAGCCAAGUAUAUCAAGGUGUUCUGAUUUAUGAUGCUUUGGGAUGGGAAGUGACAAUGCCAAAGGAAAUUCACGGUCUCAGAGGUUCCCGUCUGGUCAUACCAUGUUCUUUCAGCUACACAUCAGACCCGCCCAAAGACCCAAGUAGAGUUGUGUGGUAUCAGUGGGUCUCUAAAGAGAGAAUCAGGUGAAUGCAGUCUGCUGAUUACCACACUGGAACAGUCCCACCAUGGAGAGAAAAUAUAUGCAUGGAUUGACCCUAAAAAUGUUGGAUGGCGCACCUACGCAUUUUAUGAUGUCACGUCUACAAUUUUUGUCGAUAAAAAGUCACAGGAGCCCAGCAUCAGUAUUUAUGGAGGUGAAAAGAUGGGUGACGCCAUCACGGUAGAAUGUUCAACUUUCCACACGUGUCCAUACAGAAAACCAGCAAUCACUCUGAGCGGUGUAGAAGGAACUGAUCAAACAAAGGAUGAACAUAUUAAAAACGGCCUGUGGAAAAGAACUCUGACACGCACAGGUGUCUUAAAGGCAGAAAGCGUGACUAUUCAUUGUUCAGUAACACAUUAUGGUGGCAUAACAGUGACAACUGAAGAAGUCAAAAUGUCAAAAUGUGGACUCCCAUACUGAUGUAAGGCCCAUUUUAAGUGAAAUGGCUGAGAAAUAGCAAAGGCCCCUGGAUCGCUCAACACGUUCUAAACUGCCAUCAGGCAGUGAAGCCACCAGAAGUCACAGCUAAAACAAUGACCUCAAAUCACCAGAUGUGAAGCAAAUCAGUCAAAGGGGAUUAGUUUUUAUGUUAUGUGAAUGUGAAUUAAUGUUUACUUCAGAUGUUAUGUGCAGUGUUCACGGUCUUUUGGGGCAAGAUAAGCGAUAUAUUUAAACCGUUUAGGUGGAUGUCUGCAGCGCAAUGACGACACAUGUAACAA
rnacentral:lncRNA from 1 species